GACGAACGCUGGCGGCGUGCCUAAUACAUGCAAGUCGAACGCUGAAGGAGGAGCUUGCUCUUCUGGAUGAGUUGCGAACGGGUGAGUAACGCGUAGGUAACCUGCCUGGUAGCGGGGGAUAACUAUUGGAAACGAUAGCUAAUACCGCAUAAGAGUAGAUGUUGCAUGACAUUUACUUAAAAGGUGCAAUUGCAUCACUACCAGAUGGACCUGCGUUGUAUUAGCUAGUUGGUGGGGUAACGGCUUACCAAGGCGACGAUACAUAGCCGACCUGAGAGGGUGAUCGGCCACACUGGGACUGAGACACGGCCCAGACUCCUACGGGAGGCAGCAGUAGGGAAUCUUCGGCAAUGGACGGAAGUCUGACCGAGCAACGCCGCGUGAGCGAAGAAGGUUUUCGGAUCGUAAAGCUCGGUUGUAAGAGAAGAACGAGUGUGAGAGUGGAAAGUUCACACUGUGACGGUAGCUUACCAGAAAGGGACGGCUAACUACGUG
rnacentral:rRNA from 1 species